UACGUAGGGGGGCGAGCGUUAUCCGGAUUUACUGGGCGUAAAGCGCGUUAAGGCGGUCGGCAAAGUUGGUUGUGAAAUCUCAGGGCUCAACCCUGAAAUUGCGACCAAUACUGGUCGACUAGAGUGCAAGAGAGGAAGGUGGAAUUCCCGGUGUAGUAGUGAAAUGCGUAGAUAUCGGGAGGAACACCAGUGGCGAAGGCGGCCUUCUGGCUUGUAACUGACGCUGUAGCGCGAAAGCGUGGGGAGCGAACCGGG
rnacentral:rRNA from 1 species